rnacentral:rRNA from 1 species
GAAGGCGGCCUUCUGGACAGUACUGACGCUGAGAUGCGAAAGCGUGGGGAGCAAACAGGAUUAGAUACCCUUGUAGUCACGCUGUAAACGAUGUCGAUUUGGAGUUUGUUGCCUAGAGUGAUGGGCUCCGAAGCUAACGCGAUAAAUCGACCGCUGGGGAGUACGGCCGCAAGGUUAAAACUCAGAUGAAUUGACGGGGGCCCGCACAGCGGUGGAGCAUGUGGUUUAAUUCGAUGCAACGCGAAGAGCCUUACCUGGUCUUGACAUCCAUAGAAUUCUGCAGAGAUGUGGGAGUGCCUUCGGGAACUAUGAGACAGGUGCUGCAUGGCUGUCGUCAGCUCGUGUUGUGAAAUGUUGGGUUAAGUCCCGCAACGAGCGCAACCCCUAUUCUUUGUUGCCAGCGAUUUGGUCGGGAACUCAAAGGAGACUGCCGUUGAUAAAGCGGAGGAAGGUGGGGACGACGUCAAGUCAUCAUGGCCCUUACGACCAGGGCUACACACGUGCUACAAUGGCGUAUACAAAGGGAAGCGAAGGUGCGAGCUGGAGCGGAUCUCAUAAAGUACGUCUAAGUUCGGAUUGGAGUCUGCAACUCGACUCCAUGAAGUCGGAAUCGCUAGUAAUCGUAGAUCAGAAUGCUACGGUGAAUACGUUCCCGGGCCUUGUACACACCGCCCGUCACACCAUGGGAGUGGGUUGCACCAGAAGUAGAUAGCUUAACCGCGAGGGGGGCGUUUACCACGGUGUGAUUCAUGACUGGGGUGAAGUCGUAACAAGGUAACCA